GGCUCCUAGAAAAGAGGCGUCUCCAUCAGUGAGGUCACCCCACUGCCCUUUGGUCUGCAGAGCUCAGGGCAGAAGGAAGAGGCUGCCAAUGGGCCCAACAUUCGUGGCUCACCCUCACCCCACGGGUCUGCUCUGUCACAAGUUAAACUGGACAGCAAACUUGAAAAGUCACAGCUGUGUCUCUUUUUCACACCCGUUGUCCAAAGGGUCGGUUCUGCCAAUGUCGUGUGGCAUGUGCACGAGAGCAGCUCCCUGGCAUCUGAGGGGUCUUGGACAUGUAUUCAGAUGACCUGAACGGCCUUUUGCUGCACUGAAAGCCCAGGCCAAGAUCCUAGGAACCAGAAUGGAAGGCAUUCCUGUUUGCAUGUCAACAAGAAUGCGGCUAUAAAGGUAUUUAUACUUACAUUGAAAGCUCCCAGAAGAAACAACGUGGGUUGUAAUCCAACCGAAAAUAUCAACCGGAGAAUUGUGGAAGCAAUUAAGGCCCGGAUGCCAUGGGGCUUGGGGAGGGCAAUGACAAUGGCCAGAGAGAUGAGCAUGGCUGUCCACAGCAGUCCUGACCAGUGUGGCUCCAGUGUUCCUGGAAAGACAAGGUGAGGUUCUCAAAGAUCAGUGCUUUCAUGGAGUAAGAGGUGACGGACCAAAAUGGGCUUAAUGACAGUUUCUGCAGUCACCAAACUGGCCUUACUGUCCAAACUCUCACCUCCAGUUCUGUGCCCCAGAUGUAAUCCGUCACACAUCCAUGUUUUCUUACCUCCAAGCCUUGACCUGUGUUCCUACUACCUGGGAAAUUCUUUUCCCUUUCCUAUUCAUCCUAGGUCUUAGCUGAGAUGUCAA